rnacentral:rRNA from 1 species
CCCAAUUGAUUGAUGGUGCUUGCACCUGAUUGACUUUGGUUGCCAACGAGUGGCGGACGGGUGAGUAACACGUAGGUAACCUGCCCAGAAGCGGGGGACAACAUUUGGAAACAGAUGCUAAUACCGCAUAACAGCGUUGUUCGCAUGAACAACGCUUAAAAGAUGGCUUCUCGCUAUCACUUCUGGAUGGACCUGCGGUGCAUUAGCUUGUUGGUGGGGUAACGGCCUACCAAGGCGAUGAUGCAUAGCCGAGUUGAGAGACUGAUCGGCCACAAUGGGACUGAGACACGGCCCAUACUCCUACGGGAGGCAGCAGUAGGGAAUCUUCCACAAUGGGCGCAAGCCUGAUGGAGCAACACCGCGUGAGUGAAGAAGGGUUUCGGCUCGUAAAGCUCUGUUGUUAAAGAAGAACACGUAUGAGAGUAACUGUUCAUACGUUGACGGUAUUUAACCAGAAAGUCACGGCUAACUACGUGCCAGCAGCCGCGGUAAUACGUAGGUGGCAAGCGUUAUCCGGAUUUAUUGGGCGUAAAGAGAGUGCAGGCGGUUUUCUAAGUCUGAUGUGAAAGCCUUCGGCUUAACCGGAGAAGUGCAUCGGAAACUGGAUAACUUGAGUGCAGAAGAGGGUAGUGGAACUCCAUGUGUAGCGGUGGAAUGCGUAGAUAUAUGGAAGAACACCAGUGGCGAAGGCGGCUACCUGGUCUGCAACUGACGCUGAGACUCGAAAGCAUGGGUAGCGAACAGGAUUAGAUACCCUGGUAGUCCAUGCCGUANACGAUGAGUGCUAGGUGUUGGAGGGUUUCCGCCCUUCAGUGCCGGAGCUAACGCAUUAAGCACUCCGCCUGGGGAGUACGACCGCAAGGUUGAAACUCAAAGGAAUUGACGGGGGCCCGCACAAGCGGUGGAGCAUGUGGUUUAA